rnacentral:lncRNA from 1 species
ACGCACAGCUGGGUGAGGUGUUAUUUACAGAAAUAGCAGCUGUUUAUUUGGUCUUUUAAGCUCUCACGAGGAUGAGUUGACUCACUCUGGUUGUUAGGAGAACCCAGCGGACCAGAUGAUGAUCCUGCUUUCAGGAGUGACACAUCCUACCCGUGCACUCUGGACAAGCCUUUGGAUGUCACCACCUCUGUCUGGGCUACAAGCUAUUGGCAAGUCUUCCAGCUGAAAGUCCCAGUUGCACAGUCCCAAGGCGCUCCACAGCAUUCCCAGGUCGCCGACAGUUGACUCCAGAGACUGCUUGCUUCCAAGCCAGACUGUUGGAGACUCCGUGAUGUUCCAAGAUGCCUGGAGUAAUAAGCGACAGAGGACGUAGAAUGUAGGCUUUGACUCAGUACCUAUCUCAGAGGGUUCCUGGGAAGAUGAAUCAAGUCAAUACCCGGAAAGUACAUGGAAUGGUGCCUGGUUCAGAGAUUCUCUUGGUAAACAUGUGGCAAACGUCCAAUGACUCUAACUUUCUAAAUUUGAGAAAUGAUUUUUCAAAGAGCAUUUCUAGCACCCGAGUAAGCAGACUCCUGUGACUCAUAAAAGAUCAUUGAUAUAUGUGCAUCCAAGAUGGAUGAGAUUGCAAGUGUUUAACUGCUAUGCUCAAGCCCCCCGGUACAUAGUUGUAUAUUCUUCGUUGUGGGUCCUUCUAGUUGUGGCAUGUGGGAUGCUGCCUCAGCGUGGUUUGAUGAGCAGUGCCAUGUCCGCGCCCAGGAUUCGAACCGACGAAACACUGGGCCGCCUGCAGCAGAGCGCGCGAACUUAACCACUCGGCCACAGGGCCAGCCCCAAAAACUGGCUUUUAAAAAAAGGGAAGAACCAAGCGUUUAUUCUGUCUUUCUCAUAUGAACUGUCCUACUGGGUAACAAAUAGUAGUUGAGAAGCAUGUCUUCAUAAAGAGUAUUCCAAUAAAGAAAUAAAAAGAACUGACAUAAUUAUAAUAUCACCAUUUUGCAAUACACGUGGAAUAUAGAUCUAGGCAUUGAGCUGCUGUCA